AUGAAUAUAGUUCACUAGCACAAUGUUUGCCUCACAUGCAGAAGGCUCUGGGUUUGAUUCCCAGUACUAUUU
rnacentral:tRNA from 1 species